UUGCAAUGCAAACUUGGGUGUUUGAGGAGGGGUUUGUAAUGAAUUCAGAAGACUGGAUGAAACACACAAUGAAAAAAAGGAAGUUAAUUGGACAGUUGAACCUCUUACCCUGAACUACAAUGGACACCAUUGUAGCCUUUGUCUUUACUUCUGCCUGUAAUGACUAAGGAAGCCAUGGAUGACUCCAACUCCUGAUGAUAGUCAGUUGAAGCAUAUUGCAGAUACAUUUUCAUUGCAUGAUUUUGGCAUACUGAAAAAAUAUCAAGCAAGACAGUGGCACAUGGAAAGCUCAGAUAGUACCUCAGAUAAGCCUCUAUUCUUGGACAAUUUCCCUAGGACUUCAAACACCAGACACUGCAGUAAACAGAGAAUGAAGAAUGAAUGCUGUAGGCAACCAAAUGAAAGAAAAUUUGAACUUCACCAAAGGCGUUAACAUUAAAAUCAUGCUUCCCUUUGGUUACCUUGAACAGUAAUAAAGAUUGAAGGGAUGGAAGGAACAGAUUAUGAAGCAGUUCCUGUACGUUUUCUGUUAUUUGAUGCAUCAUCCUGCAAUAACUCCUUGCUCUAGUGACUCACAAAAGUUUCAGGGCAAAGCUCUGUAAGUAAAA